rnacentral:rRNA from 1 species
AGAUUGAACGCUGGCGGCAUGCCUUACACAUGCAAGUCGAACGGUAGAGUAGCAAUACUCGAGAGUGGCGAACGGGUGAGUAAUAUAUCGGAACGUGCCCAGUCGUGGGGGAUAACGUAGAGAAAUUUACGCUAAUACCGCAUACGAUCUACGGAUGAAAGCGGGGGACUCGCAAGAGCCUCGCGCGAUUGGAGCGGCUGAUAUCAGAUUAGGUUGUUGGUGAGGUAAAAGCUCACCAAGCCGACGAUCUGUAGCUGGUUUGAGAGAACGACCAGCCACACUGGGACUGAGACACGGCCCAGACUCCUACGGGAGGCAGCAGUGGGAAUUUUGGACAAUGGGCGAAAGCCUGAUCCAGCAAUGCCGCGUGCAGGAAGAAGGCCUCGGUUGUAAACUGCUUUUGUACGGUAACGAAAAGGACUCGUUUCUUAAUAAAGAAGGCCCAUGACGGUACCGUAAGAAUAAGACACCGGCUAACUACGUAGCCAGCAGCCGUGGUAACG